rnacentral:rRNA from 1 species
CCCUUAGGUGUUCUGGGCCGCACGCGCGCUACACUGAUGCAUUCAACGAGUUUCUUCCUGGUCCGAGAGGAAUGGGUAACCUUUUGAAAGUGCAUCGUGAUAGGGAUAGACUAUUGCAAUUAUUGGUCUUCAACGAGGAAUUCCUAGUAGACGUAGUUCAUCAGACUGCAUCGAUUACGUCCCUGCCCUUUGUACACACCGCCCGUCGCUCCUACCGAUUGAAUGCUCAGGUGAGCCAUUCGGACCUUCAUCAUGCCGGUUUCCGGUUUUGAUGAGGGAAAGUCUUGCGAACCUUAUCAUUUAGAGGAAGGAGAAGUCGUAACA